rnacentral:rRNA from 1 species
UUCCGCCUGGGGAGUACAACCGCAAGGUUGAAACUUAAAGGAAUUGACGGGGAUCUAAACAAGCGGUGGAACAUGUGGUUUAAUCCGAUACUACGCGUAAAAUCUUACCAGUUUUUGUAUAAUAUACAGGUGUUGCAUGGCUGUCGUCAGUUCGUGCUGUGAAACGUUUGGUUCAGUCCUUUUAACGAACGUAACCCCUAUUUUUUGUUACUCAAUUGAAUUAACAAGUGGUUCAAUUAGGACUCUUAAAAAUUGCUUAUGAUAUAUAAGAUGAAAGUGGGGAUGACGUCAAGUCGUCAUGGCCCUUAUAAACUGGGCUACACACGUGUUACAAUAGUUAUCACAGUAAGAAGCAAAAACGUGAGUUGGAGCAAAUCUUGAAAAGUAACUUAAGUUCGAAUUGUUCUCUGUAACUCGAGAGCAUGAAGUUGAAAUCGCUAGUAAUCACAAAUUAGUACGUUGUGGUGAUAUGUUCUUAGAUCUUGUACACACCGCCCG